UUAAGGAACACAUAUAAAACUUUAAAACCUUAAUCUCCACACAAGUACUAUUUUAUCCCAUACAUGUAAUAGAUCCACAGCCCAAUCCAAUUACAAAAUACAAGUCCAACAAUGAUUAUAUGGACCCAUAGAGAGACUCUAUUUAACCCCUAACACCUCGUUGUUAUUUUACCCCUUUAUUCUUGGCCGGCUGGUUGCAGACUUGUGAGUUGUGGGCUUUGUAUGCUAAUGAUCAUUCCUUGUAAAGUUCAUAAAGUUUCCGUUUUUCUUUUCUCCCCUUCAUUUCCACGACAACAUAUAACCUCCUCCUCCUCUUUCUCCUCCUUCUCCGGGUCGCACUCAUUGAAAUUAAGAUGGAAUCCUUGGAGCUUCAGUGGCCUGACCUUGACCUCAAAUUAGGGCAUGCGUCAAGCAACGAUCUGCACAUAAGUGCAAGUGACCCGUACUCGUCAAUCCUUGGAACGCGCGCGUUCCAGAGGAUAUGGACCGACCGCUUUCCUAUUUCUCAGGAUUCCAGAGGAUACAGACCGCCACAUUAAUUCCUAUUCCUCAGGAGGUCAGGAGUUAAGAAUCCCACUCUCUGCUCCUCUUCAACUCAUCUAGGUGCUUCCCAUUUUGUGUUACGCUUCCAGCAGAGGACACGAUUCAAGGUUUCAAGUUCUUUGAAGAGGUGUAGGGAAUUUUUUUUUGGUUCAUUGAAGAAGUGAACGAAGAAGUUGAAUGUACGCCAUCUAGAAACAUGGAAUAAUUUGAAGCUUCUUCGUCAAGGUUAUGAAAGAUGGGAGGAUUACUCAAGCAGGAAAAUACGAAGAACUUCUUAGUUCGGGAGUUGACUUUAUGGAGUUAGUAGGUGCACAUAAGAAAGCUUUAGCAGAACUUAAUUCUAUCGAACAUGGAGCUGCUUUAGAUAAUUUAAUUGAUGGUGAGGAAGAUGGUAAUAAAUUGUAUGACAAGAAACAUGCUCAAGAUGAAGGGGAAAGGGAACCCCAAAACUACGAACCAGAAAAACUAGUUGGGCCAAUAGGGCAACUUGUCCAAGAAGAAAAGAGAGAAAAGGAUGUAGUCAGUCCUUCAGUCUAUUGGAAGUAUAAUACCACUGCAUAUAAAGGGGCUUUUGUACCAUUGAUUUUGUUAGCACAAGUUAUUUUUCAGCUUCUCUUAAUAGUUAGUAAUUAUUGGAUGGUGUUGGCUACUCCAGCUUCAGAAGAUGUGAGAUCUUGUAUUAGAGAACCAACUCUCAUCUUCGUUUAUGUUGUUUUGACCCUUGGAAGCUCA